UCCCCCUCAAGUCGGCCCUCCCGAUCGACCGACUGUCGCAGCUGGUCGACCAGAAUGACUCGGUCGGCUUCGGCGGCCGCAACUUUGUCUCUCCAAGCCACGCGCAGAUCACUGAACUUUCGAUAUCCGACCUCUAGCUCGGAUAUGUUGUAAACCAGCUACACAAAACAAGACCGACCGUCAGAAGACCGAACUCGCGGAAGCAAUAAUGAAAACAAAGAAGAGAGAAACUCACCCGGAUCAUCAUCGGGUAGAAUGAAGACAGCAUGUCGGAGACACGCUGAUUCUUCAUCGCCUCGAUGUCGGCU
rnacentral:lncRNA from 1 species